UAAGUUACUCUUGCUCUUGCAAGUUCUUCAGAAAUCCUGAAGGGAUGUAUUGCUUUGAAAUGCAGUUGUUCUUGUUUGGUUUUGCAGCUAGGUUUGUGGUUGGUUUUGAUUUUGUUUGGGGUUUUGGUUUGCUUUUUUUGGUGGGGGGUGUUGUGGGUUUUUUUUUUUUACUUGUGGCGUCAUCUUUCUACAAAAAGAUGGUGAUGGAUGAGGAUGUAUUGUACUGCUUAGGAGGAAAAAGUGACCUUCAUCUCUGGACAGACCAUCACUGCAAUCAGGAAUACAGUGAGUUGGUAGUGAUGGUAGAUGUGUACCUCCUGUGUCCAGUCUAGGCGAGAUGGUGCAGUGAUUUUUAGGCUUGCGCUCAGUAAAUGAAGACCUAUAACUCAAAAGCCAUUACCUUGAUACAAGUAAAUUAUCAUGCCUCUGCUGUCUCACCAUUGCAGUGGUGGCGAGUUAGUGUCUAAGAAGUCGUCCAGUACUUCUGUAGACACCUAGACCACUGUACAGUGCAUGGAAAUGUCUAACUAGUAUUUUCCAUGGAAGUUAUAUUUAAUCUUGGAUUUUUCAGUUAAACAGUCUUUUUUUUUUUUUUUUCCCCUGAUAGUAAUCAGAAGCUCUUUCCCACCCCCCACCCCCCCAGCAAAUUCCUUUUUGGCCAACUCAGUUUCCAAGAUGAUGAUGAUGUCAUGCUAUGAGGUGAUUAAAAAACAGAUUUCCAGUAACUCUUUUUGGUGUUAGGACCAUUAGUAAGAAGUGGGAAUAAAUAAAUAAUAUAUUACAAGAUUGCUUAUUCAUACAAAAUAAGAAAGCCCACUAUCUUUCAGUUAAAGCUUAGGUCCUGUGUACAAGUUAGUAAAAAGAAUUACCUUACAGUAGUGCUAAAGACUUGUUCAGAAGCUUAAUGAUGUCUGCAAGAGCAGACCAAAUGGUGUCAAAACUGAGUGAAGGAAUUAAAGACAACAUGUCUUCCUGAACCCAUUCCAGUUCAUCAUUGGCAAAGGAGCAUUUGUUAGAUCUAAAAGUCAUCACUCUGAGACAUGCCGGGUAUGUGCGAAUGAGACAUUUGUGUUUCUAGAGUGUGUCAGUUCUGUGCUAUGCUUGUGUUCAGAGGCUGUUCUUGCUAGGUAAAAUGGGGGUGGCUGAAUGCGGGGUUAGUGACUGAUCUCAGCCUUGUGCCAGCAGGUUACUCGCCUGUGUCGCGGCUGGCCUUCCAGUGCCAGCUCACAGGUCUGGACAGCCAUCCUCACUGGGGCUUGCCACGGAAUGGUGUACUGCGCCUCCUGCCUUGUAAGAGCCUGUCUCCACAUCAUAGCCCACUACGAUGACUAAAGGUCACGGAGACGGUUGAAUGUUGAAAUAAACAUCCAGUUCUUAACUACUAUGUGGGAGGGUUACUCAAAUGCUUUUUUUUUUUCCUAAAUGAGUCCAUUUCAAAAUUUGAAGUGAAUUUAUGGCAGCCAUUUCUAAAUUCUAAAUUUGCUAUAAACUGAAGCUGAUUUAUCAAAGGAAAAAUAAGCUGCCUUACCAAAUCCUCUUCAAAUAUUGCAGAGUUAAACAAAAUUGUCCUGCUCUUUAAUGUCAGCAUAAAUAGGGAGGAAUCAUCUUUGUCUUUUUGGAGUGCAAUAUAAGUUGUAUAAAGGCACCAGGCAUGUCAAGUGUUAUUUUUUUUUCAUAGGUGCACAAUUAUAUUGGUUUCAUGAAGGCCAGCCCACGUUAACCUCGCAGCUUCCAGCAGUGUUAGAGGUCAUAAUAAAGGAGGAAGGGCACUGGGGCAGAACUGGAUGACAGAGAGAGAAAAAGGCAUGGAAGUGGCAGAAGGGAAGAAAGGUAUGAAAAGAGAACAGACUCAAGGACAGCAACCGAAGGUGACUACUAACACUAGAAGGUGAUGUGUCUUCAGCAGAACGGAUGAGAGUAUCUAGGCUGCAGAUGCUGUACAUGUUGGAGAAGAGGACAUCCAGAAAUUGGCUGUUUUGCCACGCUCUGCAGUAGCGAUCACUGAUCCUCUCUGACCUGAGCUCCAAAAACACUUUGCAGCUUUGCUGCCAGGUAGGACGGGAGUUUGAAUCAUAGAAGCGUUAAGGUUGGAAAAGACCCUUAAGGUCAUUGAGUCCAACUGCUAACCUAUCACUGCCAAGCCCACCACUGAACCACAUCCUCAAGCACCACGUCUACCCUUCUUUUAAAUGCCUCCAGGGAUGGAGACUCCACCACCUCCCUGGACAGCCUGUUCCAGUGUUUGACAACCCUUUCAGUGAAGAAGAUUUUCCUAAUAUCCAACUAACCUUCCCCUGGCGCAGCUUGAGGCCAUUUCCUCUCGUCCUAUCGCUUGCUACUAGGGAGAAGAGACCGACCCCCUGCCUCGCUACAACCUCCUUUCAGGUAGUUGUAGAGAGCAAUAAGGUCUCCCCUCAGCCUCCUCUUCUCCAGACUAAACAACCCCAGCUCCCUCAGCCGCUCCUCAUAAGACUUGUUCUCUAGACCCUUCACCAAAUUCGCUGCACUUCUCUGGACACGCUCCAGCACCUCGAUGUCCUCCUUGUAGUGAGAGGCCCAAAACUGCACACAGUACUCGAGGUGGGGUGACCCAGCCUGUCCAGGUCCCUCUGUAGGGCCUUCCUGCCCUCCAGCAGAUCGGCACUUCCACCCAGCUUGGUGCCAUCUGCAAACUCACUGAGGGUGCGCUCAAUCCCCUCAUCCAGAUCAUCAGUGAAGCUACUGAACAGGACCGGCCCCAACACUGAGCCCUGGGGAACACCACUCGUGACCAGCCGCCAACUGGAUGUGACUCCAUUCACCACCACCCUCUGGGCUCGGCCAUCCAGCCAGUUUUUAACCCAGCGCAGAGUGCACUCGUCCAAGCCGUGAGCAGCCAGCUUCUCCAGGAGAAUGCUGUGGGAGACAGCGUCAAAGGCUUUACUGAAGUCCAGCCUUAGGUCAGAAGACUAAAAAACCCUGCUGCUCAAAACUACGUAAACUCAACAAAAAAGCACAUAAAGGUACAAAUUUCAACGCACCUCCAGCGAUAAAAAGGAAAUUCUGCAAGCCUUGUCCUCCACCAGUCGUGCCGAUGGCUUCUGGACCUCUUCCGCAGUUAAAAUGAGCAGGCUGAGAACAGGGUGAAAAGCAUCUGCCUGCCAGCGCUUUAUUUGGUUGAGGGCCCUCCUUUCACAGAUAGGACAUGAGUGUAUAUUACUUUUUGUUUGGGAAAGGCUUCAGUCAGUACUGUUUAUUCAUUCACUCAGGCUCCUUCAUCUUGUUAAUGUGAGCCUGGCAGCUAAGGUGUCCGGCAAACCUGUCUGGCUGCCACCAGGCUGUGUGUUACUUGCAUAUUCCUCUGCACCAAGUAGGGAUUUUGUGCUCAAAAGGAAGAGGCGAGCUGGCUGAAGAGCUGGCUGCAUCACUUUGGUUUGCAUUUUUUGAAUGCCUAAAAGGUGAGAAAGGGCUGAUGUUAUUGUUUCUAGUUAUCGGUAUAUAUGCAUAUUUAACCUUUUCUAUGAAUGAUUUAUUUUAUAUUGACCAAAGGAUUUUGUGUGUAGCUAGCCAUAUGAUGAUUUUUCCUGCAGCCUUUGCUGUCAGUGCUUGAAAUACACUUGGAAGUGAAUUUCUAGCAUGUGAGAGCGAGCUCAUCAUUUAAAAAGGGCUGAGAAACUAGUUAAGCAGGUUGUCAAAAUAGUAGUAAAGUACUAGAUUCAAGUACAGUGGUAAGCUUUUCAAUAUCUCCUCUAGGGGUUUAAAUCUGGCUUUAAAAGUAAAGGGGCCUGUUCUCUAACUUCCUAGAAGAAUAUCAUCAGGCGGUUAUUAAACAGCAUACUGAAAAUGUGUUAAGGCUAAUCAGAUUAAAUCUCUUCCUCCUGAAGCCAGAAGGCAGCUGUUCUUUUAAGGCACCCGAGUUAUGCGAUCACCUUAAUAAAUAAAACUUACUGGAGCCUGAAAUAAACGCUAAUAAUAAUACCAAAAGGCUGAAUAACAGAGAAACUGAAGCACCCUCUGUUGACAUCAUUAGCAGCGAUUGGGUCUUCACUCAUGUAUCUUCUGUCCUUUCCUAACUGUCCCCUGCAUAUGCUGGCAUGAGUCCUUAAACCAGAAUUACUUGGAUGUUCAUAAAUUUGAUUUUCCUGCUAGUGAAUAUGAGGAGUAUAAAGCUUCUCUGCUGUUGGGCAAAUCGCAGACUGCAAAUAGUAAUUUUCCCUCAGUACUCAUAGAACUGCUGUUUCCCUUAACAUAAUUUUCCUACAACAGAAACGGUCUCGGUACCCUUCAGAAUUUCAGGGAGUUGAAUGGGGACAAUCAGAGGCCUGUUGUAACCCACGCAGGCAAAUGCAAUUCCCAAGGGUCAAGUUUAUGGGCACUCGCAUGUGGCCGUGUUCUUUUAUUGGCAAUGUUUCUAUUGUACGGAACAGUUGAACCUAUUUCAGGGUCUUCUGUGUGCUUGGUAUUACCUUGGUUUUUUUAUUUGUUUUGAGAUUAGAUAGAUCUGACUCUCAGCUUUAUGUUUUUGAAGAGCUGACCACGCAUAGCGUUUUUAUAUCAAGGAUAAGGGAGCUGCCAGUCCUUUUCAUAAGAUCUGAGUCAGGAGGUUGGUGAAGGAGCUGUGUUUGAUUGUUCUGCUGUUGAUCACUGGGCAAACUUAUUGUAUUUCUGUUUUGUCUUUUGUAGCUCGCAGAAGGAAUCUGUAGAAUACAAAUGACAAGUAAAUGUAAAAAGGAUUUUUGGUACUAAAUGUGUUUGCAGCAGGGUUUUACUCUGUAAAAUAUGGCCACAUAUGUUUACAGCUCUGUGUAAAGCGUUGCUCACAGGUAUGAAGAUGCUGUUCUCUAAUGUGAGCUUAAGCCCAUUUCUUCUAUAUGCAAAAAAUGCUGUAUGCUUUUUCUCUUUGCCCCACACCCUCCAACCAGUAGGCUCCACGCUCUCCAAUCCUCCUUCAGGCAAAAUGUUCUCCCUGAUAGCAAAAACAUAAACCCCAAAGACCGUUACCACAAUUAGAGAACUACUCUGGGUCUCUGGAGGGAUGCAGAGACGUCAUCCAGUGCACCUGAGUUCAUUUUUAUUCACUUAGGUUGAGGCCAGUCUGGGGAACUAAGGUUGAGGGCUAUUCCAGUUAAAAAUGUCACUUGUGUGAGGUCCUGGUCUUGACUGAACAAACUGAAGCAGGAAUCCUCAAAUUAUUUCAGCAUGGAUUGUGACUGCUGCCCGAACAUGCUUUUUUGCCUCGUCUAGAGGUAUUGGGAUGUUGUCAUGUGUCAGCCUCUGAAGGUGAUUCCUCAGCAGACUUUGACUCUUAUGUACCAGGCUAUUUUCCCCAUGUGGUAGAAGAGAGCUACCAUCUAAUUAUGGCUUCAUUUACAGGCAUCUGUUCUUCUUUUUGUUUUCCUUCUAUUUCUGUGUAUAUUUGUUUGGCAUUACCUGAGGAGAAACAUAUUUGUUCAGUGGCUUUUCAAAGUACACAAGCUGUAUGCUUAUAUAAAGUAGUAAAUUUAGCUUGUCCAAGCUGACAAAAGCAUUUGUUUGUAUCUUGUGUUUUUGUGUGCAUUCUGCUGUCAGGCAUGAAAAUUGCACAGCCUUUAAGUUCCAAUGAAGAUGUGUCUGAAGUAUCUCUGUGCCUGCCAGAACAGAUGUUGGAUCCUGGUCUGACCUUGUCAACUAAGUGAGCCGGGUGGCCCCUCACUUUGUUUAGAGCUUAAUACCACCAGCUAAUACUAAAUCAGUCUGUCUUAUUUGGCACUGUGAUUGUGAAUUGUGCAGGGGCACAAGAGAAGUUAUCCCUGCUGACAGCAAGUAUUGGGACAGAGGGAGGUCUUAGGACUUCUUCAUUCAAAGUGGGUAGUAGAAGAAAUAAAAUUAUGUAUUCUCUACUUAAAAUAUGAUCCCAAAAGGUGUAAUGCGGCCUUUUGCUCUUGGCUUUGCAGCCCUCUAGGCUGUGUGGCCCACAACCGAUGCAAGGGCCCAGGUGUAGCUGAAAAAUUUAGGAUUUCAGCUCUGGAGAAGUUCUGUUUAUCCAAAGAAUGGACUACAGCGGCAACUCCUUGUGAUUGCAUUAGCCAAGGAAAACUAAAAUUCUGUGUGGACAAUAUCGUCUCAAACAAU